CCCACCUUUUUGGAAAAAAUGCAUCAUCCAGCAGUUUUGAGUUAAAAUCAUGCUAGCUAUAUAGACUCAAAGUGUAGCUUACCAAAGCACUGAAACAGUAAAAUGGCUGACUCUUCAAAAAUGUGUGGUCAUUUGACAAAUUUCUUCUAUGGUUCCCUAGAAACAGGGGGUGGCACAACUUCCCCGCUGGCACAAAUCACCCCACUCCCCUACGUGUGUGCAGAAGAUGUAGUAAUUUCUUGAAAGGUUUCUUGAAAGACAAGAUAUUUCAGCUUAAUGUCUUUCUUCAGCUGGUCAAGUAAAGUCCAUAUAAACACAUUGAGAGAGAGAAUAUUGUAAAACUUUAACAUUCUCUAAAGUCUAGAAUUCAGUUAAGGGGGCUUCUAGUGGUCCUUUCUGCCUCAUUUUACCACUGCGCUCCCUUUCAGAGAUUCUCUGCAUAAUCAAUCAACAAUCAAGACCACAUGCACUUAAAGAUGACUGUUGGCUGUGAAGUUUUUGACCAUUAAUGUGCUAUUUGUUGGCGAUUAGAAUUAAUAUAACUUAUUGCAUCAUGUGUUGAUGUGGUGGUGUGGCCCCGGUAGGCAUUCUACAGGUUCUAAAUAUGUAACGUCAGCACAGGGUGGUUGGACUGUCAGUUGCUUCUUCCUGUGCGCGCUUGGUGGAGGCUUUUGUGCACAGGGGCGGUUGGUUUCGUCUCUUUCACUUUGUGCGGCGAUCAUAUUACUCACCACUUCAUGGGACGUCUAGUUUCCUUAGCUGGCAGUUAAACUGUGUUGUGGUCUGUAGUUUGCCCACAGGCUUUGCUUACCAGACUCAAGACUCAAUGUUCAAAAUGAUUUACGAGUCACUUGCCAUAUCCUGACCAUUAAACCUCAAAAUGCACAGACUAAGGUGAUGUAUGGUAUAUUAGGCAAUGUAGCCUAUGAAAUGUAUAGGCCUUUAACAUAUGUGAUGACACAUAUUGUAAGUAUUGUAAUGGAAAGUAUGAAUAUUGCAUAUAGGCAGGACUGUAUAACCCAACAAAGUGUAUUCUGUCCAAGAUCUUCUCACCACAACCAGUGUUUGGGCUGGUUUCAAUGUUUUCUGAUGAGAUGCCUACACUAUACUAGUUGGGACUGAAACUUGACCCCUAAAGAUGAGCUGCUUUUUCAAAUCCUUGUGAAUGCUGAGGAUGAACCAGUCUGUAGCUGAGGAAAGUUUGCAGUUUCUGUUCAGUCAGUGAAAUAAACACUCACCUUUAUGCCAUAUUCAUCUGUUUGAUGGAAAGGGGAUGCAGCAGCAUUUUCCUUGCAGUGAGAAUGGAGACCUCUCCACUUCAAGAUACAGUGACAUACACUGGUUACAGCACCUCUAAUUUGUACUGGCUACAUGGCCAGGGUAAGGGUUCGGGUUAGGGUUAGAGAUGCACCUCUAAUUUGUACUGGCUACAUGGCCAGGGUUAGGGUUCGGGUUUGAGGUGCACCUCUAAGGGUUUGGGUUAGGGUUAGAGAUGCACCUCUAAUUUGUACUAGCUACAUGGCCAGGGUUAGGGUUAGGGUUUGAGAUGCACCUCUAAUUUGUACUGGCUACAUGGCCAGGGUUAGGGUUCGAGAUGCACCUCAUCAGGCAUUCAGGUGUCGCACAACCUGGGGGAAGCUACAGAGAGGGAAGGAAGUACAAAGACAACACAGGACACACUCGCGUGACCGUAACAUGCCAUCAUAUACUUAAAUAGUUUAUUGUCUGAUACACCUAUUGUCUUUUUAUCAUGUAAGAUGAGUGUUUAAAAAAUGUCAAAAUUCUGUUUGUUUGGGGGGCACUGUGGCGCAAACAGUAGCCCCGACCACAUUCGGGCUUGACGCCCAUAGAGGACACGGGUUCGAAUCCGGCCCGAUGUCAUUUCUCCUGUCCACUCCC
ensembl:lncRNA